AUUAAAUGUGGCCAAUUGCCAACCAUUACAAAUAACAGAUUUUGCAAUUAAUGAAAAUUAAAGAGCAUCAAAGACCAAGUACAAAAGGCUUCAAUCUAUAAAAAUAAUGGGCAGGCCUUGAUCAUGCAAGCAUUGUGACACAAAAUAGGAGAGAAGUGAAAAAAUUUGGACUUCCAUUCUACCUUGACCCAUUAAUAGUGCUUUGUUAAUAAUUCUUCAAAAUAAAAAUCCCUGCCAAUUAAACUAAUAGUGGGACCUUGUAAUUGAGUGGAAAUGGUUCAUUACAAACCACACUUUCCUCCACACAAGCUGUUCGUCAUUGAUUCCAAAAGGUAAGGCUUCCAUUACUCAUGUUACAUAUAGAUAUCAAGUCAUUAAACCUAAAAUUAAGUUUGCAUCCCUCAACCAUCAUUUGUCCUUAAUUUAAAUUUAGCCCAUUUCCCAAUAGAAACAUAGUUGGAAAAUCAUAUGAUAAUUCUCACAAAAUGAGAGGGAAAAAAAAAGUAGUGU
rnacentral:misc_RNA from 1 species